GUGGAGUUAACAUGCUACAAGAAGAAGAAAAAGUCAUAACAGCUUAAAAUGAUUCCUCUGGUGGCGGAGUUAGCAAGCUACAAGAAGAAAAAGUCAUAACAGGUUUAUUAGAUGGAAGUGGAGAGUAUACUCUUGCUUAUGAGGAUAACGAAGGAGAUAGAAUGUUUGUUAGAAAUGUGCCAUGGCAAAAUCUCCUAGGGGAAGAAUUGAUAAUUUAGAUUUUAACGAAAUUGAACGGCCUGAGCAUCGGCUGGACUCUCCAUUGAAGCAAAUUAGGCCUAAAAAGUAACAAGGUAUGCAAAUUUAGUAGCCGACUCUCAUCAACUUUAUAUUGAGUUCAAUGGGCUGAUAUCAUUAUGGUAAUUAGAGAUUAUGUUGGUAAUUAGAAAUUAUGUUGGUUGAUUACCUUUAAUUUGUUCAUAGUUGCUUAUGUGUGAUCGUAGUUUAUCGGGAUUUGGUGGCAUAUAUACAACUAGCUUUAAAGAUUUUCACUUAGUAAUUUUUGGUAUACUGAAUGCUUCACUAACAAAGAAAUUUUGCACUGUAAUUUUUCUCAUUUAUUUAUUAAAUUACUGAGACAGAUGUGGACUUCAAGAUCAAGCUUUUACAAUUGAUGGCAAAAGAGUGAAGUACUAUUUGGGAC